UGGGGAAUAUUGGACAAUGGGCGAAAGCCUGAUCCAGCCAUGCCGCGUGUGUGAAGAAGGUCUUCGGAUUGUAAAGCACUUUAAGUUGGGAGGAAGGGCAGUAAGCGAAUACCUUGCUGUUUUGACGUUACCGACAGAAUAAGCACCGGCUAACUCUGUGCCAGCAGCCGCGGUAAUACAGAGGGUGCAAGCGUUAAUCGGAAUUACUGGGCGUAAAGCGCGCGUAGGAGGUUCGUUAAGUUGAAUGUGAAAGCCCCGGGCUCAACCUGGGAACUGCAUCCAAAACUGGCGAGCUAGAGUAGGGCAGAGGGUGGUGGAAUUUCCUGUGUAGCGGAGAAAUGCGUAGAUAUAGGAAGGAACACCAGUGGCGAAGGCGACCACCUGGGCUCAUACUGACACUGAGGUGCGAAAGCGUGGGGAGCAAACAGG
rnacentral:rRNA from 1 species